CUAGAAAUUAGACAUUACCUAAAGACAGUGGCUGCAAGAAAUUGCUUAAUUCGCUACCGAGGGGAAAUUCAUCUUUUUCCGCAAGUCUUUGGUGAUGAACCAAAGCUUUUUUAGUUCAUUA
rfam:Candidatus Saccharimonas aalborgensis, complete genome.